UACGUAGGGUGCAAGCGUUAAUCGGAAUUACUGGGCGUAAAGCGUGCGCAGGCGGCUUUGCAAGACAGAUGUGAAAUCCCCGGGCUUAACCUGGGAAUGGCAUUUGGGACUGCAAGGCUUGAGUGCGGCAGAGGAGACUGGAAUUCCUGGUGUAGCAGUGAAAUGCGUAGAUAUCAGGAGGAAUACCGAUGGCGAAGGCAGGUCUCUGGGCUGACACUGACGCUCAUGCACGAAAGCGUGGGGAGCAAACAGG
rnacentral:rRNA from 1 species